rnacentral:rRNA from 1 species
UACGUAGGUGGCAAGCGUUGUCCGGAUUUACUGGGCGUAAAGGGCGUGCAGGCGGUCUGUUAAGUGCAGGGUGAAAGCUCCCGGCUCAACUGGGAGAGGUCCUUGCAUACUGGCGGACUUGAGGGGGGUAGAGGAAAGUGGAAUUCCCGGUGUAGUGGUGAUAUGCGUAGAUAUCGGGAGGAACACCAGUGGCGAAGGCGGCUAUCUGGGCUGAAACUGACGCUGAGGCGCGAAGGCUAGGGUAGCAAACAGG